rnacentral:rRNA from 1 species
UACGUAGGGUGCAAGCAUUAAUCGGAAUUAUUGGGCGUAAAGGGCGCGUAGGCGGAUUGAUAAGUCAGAUGUGAAAUACCAAAGCUCAACUUUGGUGCUGCAUUUGAAACUGUCUCUCUAGAGGAUUGACGGAGAAAAUGGAAUUCCACAUGUAGCGGUGAAAUGCGUAGAUAUGUGGAAGAACACCAGUGGCGAAAGCGGUUUUCUAGCUAUUACCUGACGCUGAGGCGCGAGAGCAUGGGGAGCAAACAGG